AUCUUUAGCACUCUCUGCUGCUCCUGGAGGCUGCUUUUAACUGCAUGCUUUAGCUUAGAGACAGCCAACAUCAUCACUGAGCACACUGAUUUCAGCAGCAGCCAAGCACUGAGCAGUGGCAGAGCUUGCAGGAAGCCAAGGUUAACUGCAAAGUUUUGGAAAAAGGUUCCACUACUAAAAGCAACUGGAAAGCACUGGGUACCUGGAUGGUGGUUUUUCUUUGUGACAGUUUGUUUUUGUCAUAGUGAAAAGGGCUGUUAAAGGAAAAAUGCCCAUAUAAUUUCCAUCAGCGACAGUUUGAUCAGUUCCAUUUUUAUUAAAUGCUUCCUUCAUUUUAAUAUUUGCAUAUCUAAUUUUUAUGCUGACAUGUACAUUUCUGUUAUCUUCUAUCAACAUGUUGCUAUUUGUCUCUAUAAUAAAGGAAUUAUUUUUCCUGUG